AGUGAACGCUGGCGGUAGGCCUAACACAUGCAAGUCGAACGGCAGCACAGUAAGAGCUUGCUCUUACGGGUGGCGAGUGGCGGACGGGUGAGGAAUACAUCGGAAUCUACUUUUUCGUGGGGGAUAACGUAGGGAAACUUACGCUAAUACCGCAUACGACCUACGGGUGAAAGCAGGGGAUCUUCGGACCUUGCGCGAUUGAAUGAGCCGAUGUCGGAUUAGCUAGUUGGCGGGGUAAAGGCCCACCAAGGCGACGAUCCGUAGCUGGUCUGAGAGGAUGAUCAGCCACACUGGAACUGAAACACGGUCCAGACUCCUACGGGAGGCAGCAGUGGGGAAUAUUGGACAAUGGGCGCAAGCCUGAUCCAGCCAUACCGCGUGGGUGAAGAAGGCCUUCGGGUUGUAAAGCCCUUUUGUUGGGAAAGAAAAGCAGCAGGUUAAUACCCCGCUGUUCUGACGGUACCCAAAGAAUAAGCACCGGCUAACCUCGUG
rnacentral:rRNA from 1 species